AAGUCGUAACAAGGUUUCCGUAGGUGAACCUGCGGAAGGAUCAUUACAAAAUAAAGCUGGUAGAAGUGGGGUUUGAUCUGUAAGUGGUAGAGCGAACAGUCCGGCUGCCUCCCGAAAAUGUCUUACUUGUCCCCCCACAGCCUGAAGGCCGAAUUACAACCCUUGAUUAUCUACACUUUGUUGCUUUUGGGGUGCUCAGUGCCCCAGAGGACCCAACUCUCUUGCAUUUAGUGACGUCUGAGUACUAUAUAAUAUUUUAAAGC
rnacentral:misc_RNA from 1 species